AGUGACUAAGAGUGUCUGAGGCUUGUGGGUAGAGCAAGCGCUUAAAUACCAGACCUUCUUGUCCUUGGACGACUGUAGACACCUGGUUCAGACACUCAGGACAGGAACAUGGCGAGCCUGCAGACCCCGCUCCUGGCUGCCCUCGUCCUCCUUGCUAUGAUACUUCAAGCAACUGAGGCAGGCCCCUACGGCGCCAACGUGGAGGACAGUGUCUGCUGCCGGGACUACAUCCGCCACCCCCUGCCCCUGCGUGUGGUGAAGUAUUACUACUGGACUUCAGACUCCUGCCGGAGGCCUGGCGUGGUCCUGCUAACCUUGAGGGACCGAGAGAUCUGUGCUGACCCCAGACUGCCCUGGGUGAAGAAGAUUCUCCAGAGGCUGGACCAAUGAGGCAGGCCCUGCCCUGAUGACCGUGGCCUUGGAUCCUCCAGGAAGGCUCACGGAGCCCUACCUCCCUGCUGUUACAGCUGCUCCCUGACACAAGCCUAUGCCAACAACUCUCAGUGAUCCCUGUGGCUGUCACCCUCAGUCAAGUCUCCAACUGUCACUCUUAUCUCCCCUCUUACCCUUCCAAUCCAUCCUCUGUAACUCCCCCUCCCCCACCCCCCAGGCAGAGGGUCCACAAUCCUGGUCAGUCAUUCCCCUGCUUAAAAUCCUUCCAAGGCUCCCCACUGCCCUAGGCCAAGGUCCGAGCUCCUCCAGGUCUGGGUCUCAUCCCCAGCCCUGCCUCAUUUCCCUUCAUGCAGCUGGACUCCGGCUUCCUGUUCUCCAAACACACGUCACACAUUUUUACUUCUUGCUCUUUUUCAGGCUACUCCUGACACCCAGAAUGUCUCCCCAUCAUCUACAUACGUCUGACCCCAUCAGGCCCCCAGGGCAUCACUCAGCGUAGGCAGCCAGUAAUCGCGAUUCACUUUGUAGACUUCCCUUGGUCCUCUGCCCACUUUUAACAGCCCUGAUCACAGCCAGACCGGGAUUCUCAGGCCUGGGGAGCUUGUCCUCCAGCCCCAUUGGUUGGACCAAGAUCCACACCUGGGAUACUUUGUCUCCCACCGUCCAGCACACACAGGGCCUGGAUCAGAAUCAGAGCUCAGUAAGAAGCUGCAGACUGAUAAAAGUAAAGUCCCUCUCCCACCUUCCCAAAGCCCUCACACAUCAAUGCAGACUCGGGGUCAUCUAGAGAAGAGCUGGCAGGGUCCUCAGUUUUGCCCAGAUCCACCUUUAUUUCCCAUUUUACCUAUGUGUCAGGUCUCUUUAACCCUCUCGCUUCCCUCCGGUUUUUACUGCUCCUCUAACAGGCCUGACCUCUUCAGAAUCCCCCACUUUCCCUUCCUCUUUCCCCAAAUAGCUGCUAACUAAAUUCAUGCUAUGGUGUGAAUGACUACCCUUGGCUCCCUGGUAUUACAAGUUCUAUUUAUCUUUGUAUAUGAAAAGGAGGCAAAUACUUAAAAGGCUGCAUGAAUGACUGGAAGAAUUUUAGGAACUGUGUGGGAGGGGGACAAGAUGGAGCUUCCCUGGCCCUUGAAGUGAAUAUGUGGGGUAUAGUUAAGUGAAAGAGCCUUGGAUUAAGGACAGGGAUUUAGAAUUUAUCUGCACCUCUCUGGGGACAGCAGAUUCCCCAAGUAUCUGUGCUUGUUCCUUUCUGAGGGAGCCCGGUGCAGCUUGGCAGGGUGGUUGUUGCUGUAUGACCCGGAGGGGACUGUCUGACCUCUCUGAACCUCACCUGAGAAUGAGAAUACCCGCCUUAUGGAGUUGCCAUGGGGCUCAUGUUCAAGUCACAAGGAAUGUGGCUUUGCCAGCCCUAAAACUCAGUGCUUCCAGUGCUGUGUCCCCGUGCAGGCUAAGGUCAUCUGCCCACCACAGGCACUGAAAGUGUUAACCUGCUCACUGCCCAUGCACAGCGCCUUCCAGUGUUCUUGGUUCUCCCUCCACUCCUGUCCUGCCCUUGACCCUGUCCUUGCCCUUGCCCCUCAGACCUUCUGGAAAAUAAAUCCUCUACAACAGUG
ensembl:lncRNA